rnacentral:rRNA from 1 species
GGCCCAGACUCCUACGGGAGGCAGCAGUGGGGAAUAUUGCACAAUGGGGGAAACCCUGAUGCAGCGACGCCGCGUGAGCGAAGAAGUAUUUCGGUAUGUAAAGCUCUAUCAGCAGGGAAGAAAAUGACGGUACCUGACUAAGAAGCUCCGGCUAAAUACGUGCCAGCAGCCGCGGUAAUACGUAUGGAGCAAGCGUUAUCCGGAUUUACUGGGUGUAAAGGGAGCGUAGACGGCAGCACAAGUCUGAAGUGAAAUGCCGGGGCUUAACCCCGGAACUGCUUUGGAAACUGUGCAGCUAGAGUGCAGGAGAGGUAAGUGGAAUUCCUAGUGUAGCGGUGAAAUGCGUAGAUAUUAGGAGGAACACCAGUGGCGAAGGCGGCCUGCUGGGCUUUUACUGACGCUGAGGCUCGAAAGUGUGGGGAGCAAACAGGAUUAGAUACCCUAGUA